GGACGGACGGGUGAGUAACGCGUGAGUAACCUGCCUUACACAAGGGGAUAGCCGUUGGAAACGACGAAUAAUACCCUAUGACAUAAACUCUUAGCAUGAAGAACUUAUCAAAGAUUUAUCGGUGUAAGAUGGACUCGCGUCUGAUUAGCUAGUUGGUGAGGUAACGGCCCACCAAGGCGACGAUCAGUAGCCGGCUUGAGAGAGUGUACGGCCACAUUGGGACUGAGACACGGCCCAGACUCCUACGGGAGGCAGCAGGC
rnacentral:rRNA from 1 species